UCAUCGAGUGUAGCUUCGGCUGUGUGGCA
rnacentral:sRNA from 1 species